AAAAAAAAAAAAAAGGUAUACAUUAUAAUAACAUUUUGACACAGUCGAAAUUAUAUUCCUAACAUUAGUAAAAUAACAUUUUAAUAUUUUUUUUAUAGGUUAUGUAUUGAAAUUGUUGGAAAAUUAUUUCAUGUUUUAGCUGGAAAACGACAUGGAGAAUUAUAUGCAAUACAAGAUAAUGAGCUCCAUCAAAUGAAUUCGAAUGAAACCAAACUGUUUACCAUCCAAAUUCGAUUGUCGGGCAGAUAGAAAACGAAAAUUCACUCAUAGUGAACCUCGGCCUGCAUUUGUGAAACGGCAAAGACUCACUAUUAUCAAGGAAAUUGAAGAGACGACUAAAAAUGAGAUGUGUCGUAUUAUUAUACCUUUGCCAUCUUGUAGUCAAGAUGUCCAGCCACUUGAAAAUAGGUGUAGUAAUGACAAAGCCAUCCAAGUAGCUCCAGCACAGGAACACAAAGGCAAGGCAAGUGUGUAUUGCCACAUCACCCCUUAAUAUAUCUGAAGCAAGUAUAAGUAAACAAUCAGAACCAGCAAAAAAAAAAACUGUUGUUCCUGAGGACAAAUUUGACAGUGAUGAGUCAAAUGCACCAGCAACAGAAGGAUCAACUGUUGACUAGGGGUUAUAGAAGAAGAAGAUUAAUUCAUAUUAAUAUGUAAUAAUUAUAUAUUAAUAUAUUAAUAAUUAAUAAUAAUAUAAUAAUUAUCGUGCAAAAUUCGUGGUCAAAACAUAUGUGUAUUUUAUAAAUAAAUAUUCAUUCUCAGUAUUAAUGUUGUUUUAAUCAUCGAUUGAAAAAUUGGUUCUUAAUGAAUUUAGUUGGAGCUAAAUGCUGCUUGGAGCUUAAUACUUUCGAAUAACAUAAACACGUGACUUUAAGCAUAAACAUAUUUUUUAGGUAAAUACUUUAUUUAGCU